rnacentral:rRNA from 1 species
CUAAGGCCGAUGGCGACCGGCGCACGGGUGAGUAACACGUAUCCAACCUGCCGAUGACUCGGGGAUAGCCUUUCGAAAGAAAGAUUAAUACCCGAUGGCAUAGUUCUUCCGCAUGGUGGAACUAUUAAAGAAUUUCGGUCAUCGAUGGGGAUGCGUUCCAUUAGGUUGUUGGCGGGUAACGGCCCACCAAGCCUUCGAUGGAUAGGGGUUCUGAGAGGAAGGUCCCCCACAUUGGAACUGAGACACGGUCCAAACUCCUACGGGAGGCAGCAUG